rnacentral:rRNA from 1 species
UGCAAGUCGAGCGGCAGCACGGGUACUUGUACCUGGUGGCGAGCGGCGGACGGGUGAGUAAUGCCUAGGAAUCUGCCUGGUAGUGGGGGAUAACGUUCGGAAACGAACGCUAAUACCGCAUACGUCCUACGGGAGAAAGCAGGGGACCUUCGGGCCUUGCGCUAUCAGAUGAGCCUAGGUCGGAUUAGCUAGUUGGUGAGGUAAUGGCUCACCAAGGCGACGAUCCGUAACUGGUCUGAGAGGAUGAUCAGUCACACUGGAACUGAGACACGGUCCAGACUCCUACGGGAGGCAGCAGUGGGGAAUAUUGGACAAUGGGCGAAAGCCUGAUCCAGCCAUGCCGCGUGUGUGAAGAAGGUCUUCGGAUUGUAAAGCACUUUAAGUUGGGAGGAAGGGCAGUUACCUAAUACGUGAUUGUUUUGACGUUACCGACAGAAUAAGCACCGGCUAACUCUGUGCCAGCAGCCGCGGUAAUACAGAGGGUGCAAGCGUUAAUCGGAAUUACUGGGCGUAAAGCGCGCGUAGGUGGUUCGUUAAGUUGGAUGUGAAAUCCCCGGGCUCAACCUGGGAACUGCAUUCAAAACUGUCGAGCUAGAGUAUGGUAGAGGGUGGUGGAAUUUCCUGUGUAGCGGUGAAAUGCGUAGAUAUAGGAAGGAACACCAGUGGCGAAGGCAACCACCUGGACUGAUACUGACACUGAGGUGCGAAAGCGUGGGGAGCAAACAAGAUUAAUAUACCCUGGUUGUUCUACGU